AUGGCUCUACCUGCUACAUCAUAUCAUCUACAUGGACUCACACUUGCAACAAUAUUCACUGUGCUUUUCAUCUUUUUCUUCUCCAUAUCAGGUGGAUCAGUGGUGUUGGAGAGAAAUGGGAAUUUGGAAGAAAGGAAAAUGGUGAUAGGAUCGAGGCCUCCUUCUUGUUUAAACAAGUGCAUGAAUUGUAGGCCUUGUAUAGCAACUUUGGUUAUUCCAAAUAAUAAAAAAAGAAAUAAGGGUUUCCAAGUGUUAUCUCGUGGUGAUCAAGAUGAAACCUAUUACCUUCUAACAUGGAAGUGUAUUUGUAGAAAUAAGCUAUAUCAACCUUAA